UACGUAGGUGGCAAGCGUUGUCCGGAUUUAUUGGGCGUAAAGAGCGUGUAGGCGGCCAUGCAGGUCAGCUGUGAAAACUCGAGGCUCAACCUCGAGACGUCGGUUGAAACCGUAUGGCUAGAGUCCGGAAGAGGAGAGUGGAAUUCCCGGUGUAGCGGUGAAAUGCGCAGAUAUCGGGAAGAACACCCAUGGCGAAGGCAGCUCUCUGGGACGGUACUGACGCUGAGACGCGAAAGCGUGGGGAGCAAACAGG
rnacentral:rRNA from 1 species